GUAGGGUGCAAGCGUUAAUCGGGAAUUACUGGGGCGUAAAGCGUGCGCAGGCGGUUUUGUAAGUCUGAUGUGAAAUCCCCCGGGGCUCAACCUGGGGAAUUGCAUUGGAGACUGCAAGGCUAGAAUCUGGCAGAGGGGGGUAGAAUUCCACGUGUAGCAGUGAAAUGCGUAGAUAUGUGGAGGAACACCGAUGGCGAAGGCAGCCCCCUGGGUCAAGAUUGACGCUCAUGCACGAAAGCGUGGGGAGCAAACAGGAUUAGAUACCCUGGUAGUCCACGCCCUAAACGAUGUCUACUAGUUGUCGGGUCUUAAUUGACUUGGUAACGCAGCUAACGCGUGAAGUAGACCGCCUGGGGAGUACGGUCGCAAGAUUA
rnacentral:rRNA from 1 species